rnacentral:rRNA from 1 species
UACAGAGGUGGCAAGCGUUGUUCGGAAUUACUGGGCGUAAAGGGCGCGUAGGCGGUCUUGCAAGUCCUGUGUGAAAUCCCUCGGCUCAACUGAGGAACUGCACAGGAAACUGCUUGGCUUGAGUUCGGGAGAGGGAAGCGGAAUUCCGGGUGUAGCGGUGAAAUGCGCAGAUAUCAGGAGAAACACCGGUGGCGAAGGCGGCAUCCUGGACCGGUAUUGACGCUGAGGCGCGAAAGCCAGGGGAGCAAACGGG